rnacentral:pre_miRNA from 1 species
UAUCUACUUCCUCCGUUCCGAAUUACUUGUCUCGGAAAUGGAUGUAUCUAGAACUAAAAUACAUCUAGAUACAUCCAUUUCUGUGACAAGUAAUUCCGAACAGAGAGAGUAGGUA